GAUGAAGAACGUAGUGAAAUGCGAUAAGUAAUGUGAAUUGCAGAAUUCAGUGAAUCAUCGAGUCUUUGAACGCACAUUGCGCCCCCUGGUAUUCCGGGGGGCAUGCCUGUCCGAGCGUCAUUGCUGCCCUCAAGCACGGCUUGUGUGUUGGGCCCCCGUCCCCGGUUUCCCCCGGGGCCGGGCCCGAAAGGCAGCGGCGGCACCGCGUCCGGUCCUCGAGCGUAUGGGGCUUUGUCACCCGCUCUGUAGGCCCGGCCGGCGCCAGCCGACACCCAACUUUAUUUCUAAGGUUGACCUCGGAUCAGGUAGGGAUACCCGCUGAACUUAAGCAUAUCAAUAAGCGGAGGA
rnacentral:misc_RNA from 1 species